rnacentral:lncRNA from 1 species
ACACACAAAUAUGUGUGUAUAUAUGUAUGUAUACACACGCAUGUAUAUAUAUGUGUGUAUAGACACACACAUAUAUGUGUAUAUGUGUCUAUAUACACACAUGUGUAUGUGUGUGUAUAUAUAUAUUCUAUAUAUUAUAUAUAUAUGUACAUAUAUAUUCUAUAUAUUUUAUAUAUGUACAUAUAUAUUGUAUAUAUAAAAUAUAUAUACAUAUAUAUUUAUAUGUAUUAGACAAUAUACAUUUAUAUGUAUACAAGACUGUAUUAGACAAUAUAUAUAUUGUCUAUAGACAAUAUAUAUAUUGUCUAAUACAUAUAAAUACAUUAUUUUAGACAUAUUAUAUGUCUAAUACAUAUAAAUACAUAGACAUAUGUAUUAUAUGUCUAAUACAUAUAAAUAUAUAUACAUAUAUAUUUAUAUAUAUGUAUAUACA